rnacentral:rRNA from 1 species
AGAGUUUGAUCCUGGCUCAGAGUGAUAGCCGGCGGCAUGUCUAACACAUGCAAGUCGAACGAAGCCUUCGGGUUUAGUGGCGCACGGGUGCGUAACGCGUGGGAAUCUGCCCCUUGGUUCGGAAUAACAGUUGGAAACGACUGCUAAUACCGGAUGAUGACGUAAGUCCAAAGAUUUAUCGCCGAGGGAUGAGCCCGCGUAGGAUUAGGUAGUUGGUGUGGUAAAGGCGCACCAAGCCGACGAUCCUUAGCUGGUCUGAGAGGAUGAUCAGCCACACUGGGACUGAGACACGAUCCAGAUUUAUACGGGAGGCAGCAGUGGGGAAUAUUGGACAAUGGGCGAAAGCCUGAUCCAGCAAUGCCGCGUGAGUGAUGAAGGCCUUAGGGUUGUAAAGCUCUUUUACCCGGGAUGAUAAUGACAGUACCGGGAGAAUAAGCUCCGGCUAACUCCGUGCCAGCAGCCGCGGUAAU